rnacentral:rRNA from 1 species
GCGACCCCAGGAUGGGCGGGA